AGAGACAGCAGUCGCCGCGGUAAUACAGAGGGUGCGAGCGUUAAUCGGAUUUACUGGGCGUAAAGCGUGCGUAGGCGGCUUCUUAAGUCGGAUGUGAAAUCCCUGAGCUUAACUUAGGAAUUGCAUUCGAUACUGGGAAGCUAGAGUAUGGGAGAGGAUGGUAGAAUUCCAGGUGUAGCGGUGAAAUGCGUAGAGAUCUGGAGGAAUACCGGUGGCGAAGGCGGCCCCCUGGACAAAGACUGACGCUUAGGUGCGAAAGCGUGGGGAGCAAACAGGAUUAGAUACCCCUGUAGUCCCUGUCUCUUAUAA
rnacentral:rRNA from 1 species